rnacentral:rRNA from 1 species
AACGAACGCUGGCGGCAUGCCUAACACAUGCCAGUCGAACGAGACCUUCGGGUCUAGUGGCGCACGGGUGCGUAACGCGUGGGAACCUGCCCUUAGGUUCGGAAUAAUUCCCCGAAAGGGGUGCUAAUACCGGAUAAUGUCUUCGGACCAAAGAUUUAUCGCCUUUGGAUGGGCCCGCGUUGGAUUAGCUAGUUGGUAGGGUAAAAGCCUACCAAGGCGACGAUCCAUAGCUGGUCUGAGAGGAUGAUCAGCCACACUGGGACUGAGACACGGCCCAGACUCCUACGGGAGGCAGCAGUGGGGAAUAUUGGACAAUGGGCGAAAGCCUGAUCCAGCAAUGCCGCGUGAGUGAUGAAGGCCUUAGGGUUGUAAAGCUCUUUUACCCGGGAUGAUAAUGACAGUACCGGGAGAAUAAGCUCCGGCUAACUCCGUG